rnacentral:rRNA from 1 species
AGUGAACGCUGGCGGCGUGCCUAAUACAUGCAAGUCGAACGGAGUGGCGCACGGGUGAGUAAUAUAUAGCUAAUCUGCCCCUUGCUGGAGGACAACAGUUAGAAAUGACUGCUAAUACUCCAUAGCAAGGGAUGAGACUAUAUCGUAUCAGCUAGUCGGUGUGGUAACGGCCUACCGAGUGUAUGACGCGUAACUGGUCUGAGAGGAUGAUGAGUAACAUUGGAACUGAGACACAGUGCAAACUCCUACGGGAUUCAGCAGUAGGCAAGAAUGGGCAAUGGGCGAGACACUGGCGCAGCAACGCCGCGUGGAGGAAGACACUUUUCGGGGCGUAAACUCCGUGUGUUAAGUAAACGGUACCUAACGAAUAAGCACCGGCUAACUCCGUGCCAGCCGCCGCGGUAAUAC